UACAUAGGGUGCAAGCGUUGUCCGGAAUUAUUGGGCGUAAAGAGCUCGUAGGUCGAAUGUUACGUCGGAUGUGAAAACCUGAGGCUCAACCUCAGGCCUGCAUUCGAUACGGGCAAACUAGAGUUUGGUAGGGGAGACUGGAAUUCCUGGUGUAGCGGUGGAAUGCGCAGAUAUCAGGAGGAACACCAAUGGCGAAGGCAGGACUCUGGGCCAUUACUGACACUGAGGAGCGAAAGCGUGGGGAGCGAACAGG
rnacentral:rRNA from 1 species